AAAGAUAAAGUAUAAUUUUUUACGUUUCAGUUACAUUGAAGAAAUCCGAAUGAAGGUGUCUUUA
rnacentral:tRNA from 1 species